rnacentral:rRNA from 1 species
UACAGAGGGUGCAAGCGUUAAUCGGAAUUACUGGGCGUAAAGGGCGCGUAGGCGGCCUGAUAAGUAGGGGGUGAAAUCCUGCGGCUUAACCGCAGGGCUGCCUUCUAAACUGUCAGGCUCGAGCACAGUAGAGGCAGGUGGAAUUCCCGGUGUAGCGGUGGAAUGCGUAGAGAUCGGGAAGAACACCCGUGGCGAAGGCGGCUGCACUGGGCUGACCUUGACGCUGAGGCGCGAAGGCG